rnacentral:rRNA from 1 species
UAAUUUGAGAGUUUGAUCCUGGCUCAGGACGAACGCUGGCGGCGUGCCUAAUACAUGCAAGUCGAACGAACUCUGGUAUUGAUUGGUGCUUGCAUCAUGAUUUACAUUUGAGUGAGUGGCGAACUGGUGAGUAACACGUGGGAAACCUGCCCAGAAGCGGGGAAUAACACCUGGAAACAGAUGCUAAUACCGCAUAACAACUUGGACCGCAUGGUCCGAGUUUGAAAGAUGGCUUCGGCUAUCACUUUUGGAUGGUCCCGCGGCGUAUUAGCUAGAUGGUGGGGUAACGGCUCACCAUGGCAAUGAUACGUAGCCGACCUGAGAGGGUAAUCGGCCACAUUGGGACUGAGACACGGCCCAAACUCCUACGGGAGGCAGCAGUAGGGAAUCUUCCACAAUGGACGAAAGUCUGAUGGAGCAACGCCGCGUGAGUGAAGAAGGGUUUCGGCUCGUAAAACUCUGUUGUUAAAGAAGAACAUAUCUGAGAGUAACUGUUCAGGUAUUGACGGUAUUUAACCAGAAAGCCACGGCUAACUACGUGCCAGCAGCCGCGGUAAUACGUAGGUGGCAAGCGUUGUCCGGAUUUAUUGGGCGUAAAGCGAGCGCAGGCGGUUUUUUAAGUCUGAUGUGAAAGCCUUCGGCUCAACCGAAGAAGUGCAUCGGAAACUGGGAAACUUGAGUGCAGAAGAGGACAGUGGAACUCCAUGUGUAGCGGUGAAAUGCGUAGAUAUAUGGAAGAACACCAGUGGCGAAGGCGGCUGUCUGGUCUGUAACUGACGCUGAGGCUCGAAAGUAUGGGUAGCAAACAGGAUUAGAUACCCUGGUAGUCCAUACCGUAAACGAUGAAUGCUAAGUGUUGGAGGGUUUCCGCCCUUCAGUGCUGCAGCUAACGCAUUAAGCAUUCCGCCUGGGGAGUACGGCCGCAAGGCUGAAACUCAAAGGAAUUGACGGGGGCCCGCACAAGCGGUGGAGCAUGUGGUUUAAUUCGAAGCUACGCGAAGAACCUUACCAGGUCUUGACAUACUAUGCAAAUCUAAGAGAUUAGACGUUCCCUUCGGGGACAUGGAUACAGGUGGUGCAUGGUUGUCGUCAGCUCGUGUCGUGAGAUGUUGGGUUAAGUCCCGCAACGAGCGCAACCCUUAUUAUCAGUUGCCAGCAUUAAGUUGGGCACUCUGGUGAGACUGCCGGUGACAAACCGGAGGAAGGUGGGGAUGACGUCAAAUCAUCAUGCCCCUUAUGACCUGGGCUACACACGUGCUACAAUGGAUGGUACAACGAGUUGCGAACUCGCGAGAGUAAGCUAAUCUCUUAAAGCCAUUCUCAGUUCGGAUUGUAGGCUGCAACUCGCCUACAUGAAGUCGGAAUCGCUAGUAAUCGCGGAUCAGCAUGCCGCGGUGAAUACGUUCCCGGGCCUUGUACACACCGCCCGUCACACCAUGAGAGUUUGUAACACCCAAAGUCGGUGGGGUAACCUUUUAGGAACCAGCCGCCUAAGGUGGGACAGAUGAUUAGGGUGAAGUCGUAACAAGGUAGCCGUAGGAGAACCUGCGGCUGGAUCACCUCCUUU